rnacentral:lncRNA from 1 species
GGGUUUUUACAGAAGUUAGUCUUAAUCAAACGAAAUUCUAUUAAGGAAUAGAACAAAAAAGAGGGUGUGGAUGCGCUUUAUCUAGUUUUGUAUAAUUUUUUCUUUACUAUCCCCCCUUUUGUUCUAUUCAGACCUAUUUCUUUUCGGUUUUUUUUUUGAAGUCUUUCUCUAAAACUCUAAAAAAGUAUUCUUAAAGUUUUUUAUUUAUCUAAUUCUUUAGAUAUUAUUUAUUAAUUUCCAUAUUUAUUAUAUCUAUUUAUUAAUAUAUAAUUUGAUUUGUUAUUUGGAUUUGAAUUCAAUUUAAUAAAUAACCAAUUAACUCUUUUUGUUUUUGUUAUUGUAUGUUUUUAGUAUUUUCUCAAUCUUGCUAUUCAAUAUUCAAUGUCAUAUUGACAAUAUUGUAGUGAAC